AAAUUGAACCAGAACCAUGCAUUAUGCAUAACUUGUAGCAGGCUUAUAGAAAUGAACACAGGUCUCAUCAACAAACUCUCAAGCACAAGCCCACGUGCUAGCCAGCUAAUGUUAAUAUUUCAAGUUUAGCCAACUUGACUCUAUUUGCUCGCUAACAAUGGAGAACAGUUGAAUUGUUAUGAACACACCCUUCUGUCCUCUCCAACUGUUUGAACAGCAUGCUAGCCUGUCAACGUUUCAGGUGUUGAAAUCAAGUGGCCUACCUUCUUUCUCAGAAUGAGAAUGAGUUUGUAAUUCCUAAUAUAAUUGUGUUUUAUGCUCAUUGCACAUUUAUAAAACACAAACUAGACAGCUAGUAUGCUGUUAGCGGUACGUAGUACCAGAAUGCUACGCGCAACAAACUGAGCGUUACAUUUCCAGAAACUAUGUUUAUCGAUACUCUCGUUAUAGUCGUGUUUGUUCCGCUCUCAAUCUGAGUAGUUGAGACAUAAACAGGGUAUGGUUAGAAAGGUUAACAUCUCCUCCAUUACAGUAAAAUAAUAUAAAUGUGUGUUUCAGUCUCCAGGUUAACAUCUCCUCCAUUACAGUAAAAUAAUAUAAAUGUGUUUCAGUCUCCAGGUCAACGUCUCCUCCAUUACAGUAAAAUAAUGUCUCAAUGUGUUUCAGUCUCCAGGUUAACAUCUCCUCCAUUUCAGUAAAAUAAUGUCUCAAUGUGUUUCAGUCUCCAGGUUAACAUCUCCUCCAUUUCAGUAAAAUAAUGUCUCAAUGUGUUUCAGUCUCCAGGUUAACAUCUCCUCCAUUACAGUAAAAUAAUGUCUCAAUGUGUUUCAGUCUCCAGGUUAACAUCUCCUCCAUUACAGUAAAAUAAUGUCUCAAUGUGUUUCAGUCUCCAGGUUAACAUCUCCUCCAUUACAGUAAAAUAAUGUCUCAAUGUGUUUCAGUCUCCAGGUUAACAUCUCCUCCAUUUCAGUAAAAUAAUGUCUCAAUGUGUUUCAGUCUCCAGGUUAACAUCUCCUCCAUUACAGUAAAAUAAUGUCUCAAUGUGUUUCAGUCUCCAGGUUAACAUCUCCUCCAUUUCAGUAAAAUAAUGUCUCAAUGUGUUUCAGUCUCCAGGUUAACAUCUCCUCCAUUACAGUAAAAUAAUGUCUCAAUGUGUUUCAGUCUCCAGGUUAACGUCUCCUCCAUUACAGUAAAAUAAUGUCUCAAUGUGUUUCAGUCUCCAGGUUAACGUCUCCUCCAUUACAGUAAAAUAAUGUCUCAAUGUGUUUCAGUCUCCAGGUUAACAUCUCCUCCAUUACAGUAAAAUAAUGUCUCAAUGUGUUUCAGUCUCCAGGUUAACAUCUCCUCCAUUUCAGUAAAAUAAUGUCUCAAUGUGUUUCAGUCUCCAGGUUAACAUCUCCUCCAUUACAGUAAAAUAAUGUCUCAAUGUGUUUCAGUCUCCAGGUUAACAUCUCCUCCAUUUCAGUAAAAUAAUGUCUCAAUGUGUUUCAGUCUCCAGGUUAACAUCUCCUCCAUUACAGUAAAAUAAUGUCUCAAUGUGUUUCAGUCUCCAGGUUAACGUCUCCUCCAUUACAGUAAAAUAAUGUCUCAAUGUGUUUCAGUCUCCAGGUUAACAUCUCCUCCAUUACAGUAAAAUAAUGUCUCAAUGUGUUUCAGUGUCCAUACGACCCAUUCUGUUGGACCAAACCUCAAACGCAAAUAGCGAGUUGAAACUGCUUGUCAGAGAAUAAGUGAUUUUUAGUAUUUUUUGUUGUGAGUGGCAGGGAGAGGGGCUUGGUCUGUGUGUGUAAAGAGGGGAAGCGAGAGGUUUCAUAUAUCAGCCAGCCCUAGCGCACACACACACAACCUCCUUGUGGGAACACACACUUCAGUCCCAUUCAAAAUACUAUUUUCCCUAACCUGAAAACCUAACCUUAACCCUUAACCUAGCUGCUAACCCUAAAGCUAACCUUAACCCUUAACCUAGCUGCUAACCCUAACCCUAAACUUAACCUUAACCUUUAACCGAGCUGCGAAACCUAAACCUAACCUUAACCCUUAACCUAGCUGCUAACCCUAAAUUUAAC